rnacentral:rRNA from 1 species
GAUGAACGCUGGCGGCGUGCCUAAUACAUGCAAGUCGAGCGAACAGACGAGGAGCUUGCUCCUCUGACGUUAGCGGCGGACGGGUGAGUAACACGUGGAUAACCUACCUAUAAGACUGUGAUAACUUCGGGAAACCGGAGCUAAUACCGGAUAAUAUAUUGAACCGCAUGGUUCAAUAGUGAAAGACGGUUUUGCUGUCACUUAUAGAUGGAUCCGCGCCGCAUUAGCUAGUUGGUAAGGUAACGGCUUACCAAGGCAACGAUGCGUAGCCGACCUGAGAGGGUGAUCGGCCACACUGGAACUGAGACACGGUCCAGACUCCUACGGGAGGCAGCAGUAGGGAAUCUUCCGCAAUGGGCGAAAGCUUGACGGAGCAACGCCGCGUGAGUGAUGAAGGUCUUCGGAUCGUAAAACUCUGUUAUUAGGGAAGAACAAAUGUGUAAGUAACUAUGCACGUCUUGACGGUACCUAAUCAGAAAGCCACGGCUAACUACGUG